rnacentral:rRNA from 1 species
AUACGUAGGGGGCAAGCGUUGUCCGGAUUUACUGGGCGUAAAGAGCGUGUAGGCGGCCAGGCAGGUCUGUUGUGAAAACUAGAGGCUUAACCUCUAGACGUCGACAGAAACCGCUUGGCUAGAGUCCGGAAGAGGAGAGUGGAAUUCCUGGUGUAGCGGUGAAAUGCGCAGAUAUCAGGAAGAACACCAAUGGCGAAGGCAGCUCUCUGGGACGGUACUGACGCUGAGACGCGAAAGCGUGGGGAGCGAACAGGA